rnacentral:tRNA from 3 species
GCUCCCGUAGCUCAGGGGAUAGAGCACCGCUCUCCUAAAGCGGGUGUCGCAGGUUCGAAUCCUGCCGGGAGCA